ensembl:lncRNA
AAAAAAAAAAAAAGUACAAUUUUUUUCUAUUUUGGCCUGUAACACUUCAAACACUUAAUGGCUCAUCUACAGUCUUAGUCAGUACCUAACAAGGCUAGCCAAUGACUUUCCUGCCUUUUUUGCUUAACCGGUCGAGGUUACCAAUAUGCUCAUACAAAUUUUUUCUCUUUUGGCCUGUAACACUUAAAUCAGUAAAAAAAAAAAAAAAAAAAAGUAUUUAUGCAUGUGUAUUAAUAAACAAAAUCAGUAAAAAAAAAAAAAAAGUACUAUUUUUUUCUAUUUUGGCCUGUAACACUUCAAACACUUAAUGGCUCAUCUACAGUCUUAGUCGGCACCUAACAAGGCUAGCCAAUGACUUUCCUGCCUUUUUUGCUUAACCGGUCGAGGUUACCAAUAUGCUCAUACAAUUUUUUUCUAUUUUGGCCUGUAACACUUCAAACACUUAAUGGCUCAUCUACAGUCUUAGUCAGCACCUAACAAGGCUAGCCAAUGACUUUCCUGCCUUUUUUGCUUAACCGGUCGAGGUUACAUUGGCUCAUACAAUCUUUUUCUCUUUUGGCCUGUAACACUUAAAUCAGUUAAAAAAAAAAGUAUUAAUGCAUGUAUAUUGAUAAACAAAAUCAGUUUAAAAAAAAAAAAAAAGUAUUUAUGCAUGUAUAUUGAUAAACAAAAUCAGUUAAAAAAAAAAAAAGUACUAUUCUUUUCUAUUUUGGCCUGUAACACUUCAAACACUUAAUGGCUCAUCUACAGUCUUAGUCAGCACCUAACAAGGCUAGCCAAUGACUUUCCUGCCUUUUUUGCUUAACCGGUCGAGGUUACCAAUAUGCUCAUACAUUAUUUUUUUCUUUUGGCCUGUAACACUUCAAGCACUUAAUGGCUCAUCUACAGUCUUAGUCAGCACCUAACAAGUCUCGCCAAUGACUUUCCUGGCUUUUUUGCUUAACCGGUCGAGGUUACCAAUAUGCUCAUACAAUCUUUUUCUCUUUUGGCCUGUAACACUUAAAUCAGUUAAAAAAAAAAGUAUUAAUGCAUGUAUAUUGAUGAACAAAAUCAGUUUAAAAAAAAAAAAAAAGUAUUUAUGCAUGUAAAUUGAUGAACAAAAUCAGUUAAAAAAAAAAAAGAAAGUAUUUAUGCAUGUAUAUUGAUGAACAAAAUCAGUUAAAAAAAAAAAAAGUAUUUAUGCAUGUAUAUUGAUAAACAAAAUCAGUUAAAAAAAAAAAAGUAUUUAUGCAUGUAUAUUGAUAAACAAAGUCAGUAAAAAAAAAAAAAAAGUACAAUUUUUUUCUAUUUUGGCCUGUAACACUUCAAACACUUAAUGGCUCAUCUACAGUCUUAGUCAGUACCUAACAAGGCUAGCCAAUGACUUUCCUGCCUUUUUUGCUUAACCGGUCAAAGUUACCAACAUGCUCUUACUAUUUUUUUCUAUUUUGGCCUGUAACACUUAAAUCAGUUAAAAAAAAAGUAUUAAUGCAUGUAUAUUGAUAAACAAAAUCAGUUUAAAAAAAAAAAAAAAAAAAGUAUUUAUGCAUAUAUUUUGGUGAACAAAAUCAGUAAAAAAAAAAAAGUUCUAUUCUUUUCUAUUUUGGCCUGUAACACUUCAAACACUUAAUGGCUCAUCUACAGUCUUAGUCAGCACCUAACAAGGCUAGCCAAUGACUUUCCUGCCUUUUUUGCUUAACCGGUCAAAGUUACCAAUAUGCUCUUACUAUUUUUUUCUAUUUUGGCCUGUAACACUUCAAACACUUAAUGGCUCAUCUACAGUCGUAGUCAGCACCUAACAAGGCUAGCCAAUGACUUUCCUGCCUUUUUUGCUUAACCGGUCGAGGUUACCAAUAUGCUCAUACAAAUUUUUUCUCUUUUGGCCUGUAACACUUAAAUCAGUAAAAAAAAAAAACAAAAAAAAGUAUUUAUGCAUGUGUAUUAAUAAACAAAAUCAGUAAAAAAAAAAAAAAAGUACUAUUUUUUUCUAUUUUGGCCUGUAACACUUCAAACACUUAAUGGCUCAUCUACAGUCUUAGUCGGCACCUAACAAGGCUAGCCAAUGACUUUCCUGCCUUUUUUGCUUAACCGGUCGAGGUUACCAAUAUGCUCAUAAAAUUUUUUUCUCUUUUGGCCUGUAACACUUAAAUCAGUAAAAAAAAAAAAGAAAAAGUAUUUAUGCAUGUGUAUUAAUAAACAAAAUCAGUAAAAAAAAAAAAAAGUACAAUUUUUUUCUAUUUUGGCCUGUAACACUUCAAACACUUAAUGGCUCAUCUACAGUCUUAGUCAGCACCUAACAAGGCUAGCCAAUGACUUUCCUGCCUUUUUUGCUUAACCGGUCGAGGUUACCAAUAUGCUCAUACAAUUUUUUCUAUUUUGGCCUGUAACACUUCAAACACUUAAUGGCUCAUCUACAGUCUUAGUCAGCACCUAACAAGGCUAGCCAAUGACUUUCCUGCCUUUUUUGCUUAACCGGUCGAGGUUACAUUGGCUCAUACAAUCUUUUUCUCUUUUGGCCUGUAACACUUAAAUCAGUUAAAAAAAAAAAGUAUUAAUGCAUGUAUAUUGAUAAACAAAAUCAGUUUAAAAAAAAAAAAAAAGUAUUUAUGCAUGUAUAUUGAUAAACAAAAUCAG